GUGGGGAAUAUUGGACAAUGGGGGGAACCCUGAUCCAGCCAUGCCGCGUGUGUGAAGAAGGCCUUUUGGUUGUAAAGCACUUUAAGCGAGGAGGAGGCUACUCUAGUUAAUACCUAGGGAUAGUGGACGUUACUCGCAGAAUAAGCACCGGCUAACUCUGUGCCAGCAGCCGCGGUAAUACAGAGGGUGCAAGCGUUAAUCGGAUUUACUGGGCGUAAAGCGCGCGUAGGUGGCCAAUUAAGUCAAAUGUGAAAUCCCCGAGCUUAACUUGGGAAUUGCAUUCGAUACUGGUUGGCUAGAGUAUGGGAGAGGAUGGUAGAAUUCCAGGUGUAGCGGUGAAAUGCGUAGAGAUCUGGAGGAAUACCGAUGGCGAAGGCAGCCAUCUGGCCUAAUACUGACACUGAGGUGCGAAAGCAUGGGGAGCAAACAGGAUUAGAUACCCUAGUAGUCC
rnacentral:rRNA from 1 species